GUCCACUUGGCUCAAGGGUAGAGCAUCAGAUAAUGGUGUAGAAGACAUUUCGAGAUCUGAAGUAUGCGAGUUCGAAUCUCACAGUGGACA